rnacentral:rRNA from 1 species
AGGUAAGGUAAGGUAACACUUACUGAGGACCGAACCGGUGAAUGUUGAAAAAUUCUCGGAUGACUUGUGGAUAGGGGUGAAAGGCCAAUCAAACCUGGACAUAGCUGGUUCUCCGCGAAAACUAUUUAG